UCCGGCUUGUCACCGGCAGUUCCUUCAGAGUGCCCGGCCCUACCCGAUGGCAACUGAAGGCGAGGGUUGCGCUCGUUGCGGGACUUAACCCAACACCUCACGGCACGAGCUGACGACAGCCGUGCAUCACCUCGCACAAUGCCCCGAAGGGAGACCGGCUUUCACCGGCUGUCACUGCACGUUCAAGCCCAGGUAAGGUUCUUCGCGUUGCAUCGAAUUAAACCACACGCUCCGCUGCUUGUGCGGGCCCCCGUCAAUUCCUUUGAGUUUUAGCCUUGCGGCCGUACUCCCCAGGCGGGGAACUUAAUGCGUUAGCUUCGGCACGGAGGGAGUCGACACCCCCCACACCUAGUUCCCAUCGUUUACGUCGUGGACUAC
rnacentral:misc_RNA from 1 species